rnacentral:rRNA from 1 species
AACGAACGCUGGCGGCAUGCCUAACACAUGCAAGUCGAACGAGAUCUUCGGGUCUAGUGGCGCACAGGUGCGUAACGCGUGGGAAUCUGCCCUUUGGUUCGGAAUAACAGUUGGAAACGACUGCUAAUACCGGAUGAUGACGAAAGUCCAAAGAUUUAUCGCCAGAGGAUGAGCCCGCGUAGGAUUAGCUAGUUGGUGUGGUAAAGGCGCACCAAGGCGACGAUCCUUAGCUGGUCUGAGAGGAUGAUCAGCCACACUGGGACUGAGACACGGCACAGACUCCUACGGGAGGCAGCAGUGGGGAAUAUUGGACAAUGGGCGAAAGCCUGAUCCAGCAAUGCCGCGUGAGUGGUGAAGGCCUUAGGGUUGUAAAGCUCUUUUACCCGGGAUGAUAAUGACAGUACCGGGAGAAUAAGCUCCGGCUAACUCCGUGCCAGCCGCCGCCGUAA